rnacentral:misc_RNA from 1 species
GAACACAUAAACUAUACGAAAAUGAUAUGCGAAUGUAAUAGAUAUAA